rnacentral:rRNA from 1 species
AUUGAACGCUGGCGGCAGGCCUAACACAUGCAAGUCGAACGAGUGGCGGACGGGUGAGUAAUGUCUGGGAAAAUGCCUGAUGGAGGGGGAUAACUACUGGAAACGGUAGCUAAUACCGCAUACCAUCGGAUGUGCCCAGAUGGGAUUAGCUAGUAGGUGGGGUAAAGGCUCACCUAGGCGACGAUCCCUAGCUGGUCUGAGAGGAUGACCAGCCAAACUGGAACUGAGACACGGUCCAGACUCCUACGGGAGGCAGCAGUAGGGAAUAUUGGGCAAUGGGCGAAAGCCUGAUGGAGCCAUGCCGCGUGUAUGAAGAAGGCCUUCGGAUUGUAAAGUACUGUCGGCGGGGAGGCGUUACCCGAAGAAGAAGCAACGGCUAACUCCGUGCCAGCAGCCGCGGUAAUUC